UUUCGCAAUGCCCGAAAGGGUGACGAAGCGACGCCGCGUGGGUGAGGAAGGCCCUCGGGUUGUAAAGCCCUGUCAGGAGUUAAGAAAUGUAGGUACGCUAAUAUCGUGCUUAUUUGACAAAGGCUCCAAAGGAAGCCACGGCUAACUCUGUGCCAGCAGCCGCGGUAAUACAGAGGUGGCAAGCGUUGUUCGGAAUUAUUGGGCGUAAAGAGCACGUAGGUGGAUUUGUAAGUCAGAUGUGAAAGCCUUCUGUUCAACGGGAGAAUUGCAUCUGAAACUACAAACCUUGAGUGUAGGAGGGGAGAAUGGAACUUCUGGUGGAGCGGUGAAAUGCGUAGAUAUCAGAAGGAACGCCGGCGGCGAAAGCGAUUCUCUGGCCUAUUACUGACACUCAGUGUGCGAAAGCUAGGGGAGCAAACGGGAUUAGAUACCCCGGUAGUCCUAGCCGUAAACGAUGGGCACUAAGUAGAGGGGUUUU
rnacentral:rRNA from 1 species